GACGAACGCUGGCGGCGUGCUUAACACAUGCAAGUCGAACGGAAAGGCCCUGCUUGCAGGGUACUCGAGUGGCGAACGGGUGAGUAACACGUGGGUGAUCUGCCCUGCACUUCGGGAUAAGCCUGGGAAACUGGGUCUAAUACCGGAUAGGAGCCAUUUUUAGUGUGAUGGUUGGAAAGUUUUUUCGGUGUAGGAUGAGCUCGCGGCCUAUCAGCUUGUUGGUGGGGUAAUGGCCUACCAAGGCGGCGACGGGUAGCCGGCCUGAGAGGGUGGACGGCCACAUUGGGACUGAGAUACGGCCCAGACUCCUACGGGAGGCAGCAGUGGGGAAUAUUGCACAAUGGGCGCAAGCCUGAUGCAGCGACGCCGCGUGGGGGAUGACGGCCUUCGGGUUGUAAACUCCUUUCGCUAGGGACGAAGCUUUUUGUGACGGUA
rnacentral:rRNA from 1 species